rnacentral:rRNA from 1 species
CUCCAGCUCUAAUAGCGUAUAUUAAAGUUGUUGCGGUUAAAAAGCUCGUAGUUGAAUCUGUGUUCCGCGCUGUCGGUUCACCGCCCGCGGUGAAACUGGCAUGCCGCGGAACGUCCUGCCGGUGGAUGCGUGUCCUUUGUUUACUUCCCCCAUUGUGUGUGUGCAACUUGUUGUUACUACAUGGUGUGGUGGGGUUUCAAAUGUGUCACCAUCCGACUCAAUAAUCCUGUCGCGGUGCUCUUAAUUGAGUGUCGAGGCGGGCCGGCACGUUUACUUUGAACAAAUUAGAGUGCUCAAAGCAGGCUAAAAUUUCGCCUGAAUACUGUGUGCAUGGAAUAAUGGAACAGGACCUCGGUUCUAUUUUGUUGGUUUUCGGAACCCCGAGGUAAUGAUUAAUAGGGACAGAUGG